UUUCGUCGUCCUCGUGCUAAUCCCGUCCCGCACACGCCUAUGGGCCGCGGCAAACAUGGGCCGUGCUUCACCGCACGCACGCCAAGGAUCCCGUCCUCGCCCCCCUCCCCGCCAAGGCUCCUCGCCUCGCCGCCUGUUGUUCCCCAUCUUCUGUAUCGUCGCCUGCCUCCAUCGCGACGCGCCGCCUUCGACGACCCGGAGCGCAUCGUCCUCGAGUGGAUCGAUGGAUGCCGCGGUGUCUCCUCCAGCGGAUUCGUCCUCUGUGGGUUCCCCAUCGUCAGCGCCUGCUUGAUGGCCUCCAAGAUGACGCUCUGCCCCCACCCCAGCCGCCGGCCGCUCCAUCUCGAGGUCAACCCAGCCCUCUAUCUCGCCCACCGCCCCAUCUUGUGCGUUGGUAUUCGAGCAGCAGCGGACUGGGCGUGGUUCAACCUCGACGGUGAGGGGAAGGGUCCGUCGACGGAGGAGGUGGGGCAGAGAUAGGCCACCGAGAGAGCACAUUCAUCUUCCCGUGCUGGGCCUCAGCGCCAUCAUCCUCGUCCAGGGCUCCGCGCUUGCUACAUCUGGUAAUUAACCUAGAUACUUCGUUCCAGACCUCCAGAUAUGCCCUCAAGGUGUUUGACGAAUUGCUAACCAGUCUGUUAGUAUACAAGCAAGCCCACUGAUGAUCUCAAGUCACGUUUUCCUGGGAGCUAUUGACCUUUUUACAUUGAUAUAAAAGGAUAUAUUGGGAACCAAGAACCUUCAGGUUAGUUUGUAUAAUUGUUUUAGUAACCUAAUUUAUAGCUAAUUGAAAGAGUUUUGUUCUUCAUUAACAAUCUUUUCUACCGGUUGAUCUAUGAUACAUAACUAAGCUGUUACGUGAUCUGCAUUAAUGUUCUUCAUCUAGAAGAGGAGAGCAGCCGCCAAUUUGCUUCCCUCCAUGCUUGCCUCGUGGCCAUGAUUUGCAUUAAUGUUCUGGAAUUGGAAUUGAGUGUGAAUUUGCAGCUGGUUUUACCGUAAGUUAAAAUGCGAGUAUGUCGAGGGGGACAAGGGCAACAAAACUAAAUUUAAUUGAUGUUUUGAAAAAUUUCCUUUGAAGGAUCGCAUACUUUUUCCUACUGCAGUUCAGAUAUUAAGCAAACAUCCUCCGUCCAAUGCUCCCUUUGAGGCUUGGUUCAAGAAGUGGCUCUUAAUUUAUGUGUUUGUUGUUAUGUCAGAUAGGUGGUCAUCCUUAAUGUAUAAAUGAAUAUGCAUAAGCCUAAGUAUAUGUGCAGACUAAUUUUCCAGAUUUAUAAAUUGCAUACUCACACCAGUAAAAAAACAUAGCAGUAAGAUGGAUAGUGUAGGUUCCCAUAACGAUCUAAAUCAGAAUUUAUGUGGAUAGACAAUAUGUGCCUAUGAUAUAGCCUCAUUGACUAAAAAAUACUUGUUCACUGCUUUUAAUCGUUGUUUGUUCCAGUCAUAGCAUACCAUAUGUAUCGCGGCUGAAUAUUCGGCAACACGUCUGCACCACACUUCAGUUCCCCAUCGACUGUGUUCAUGCUAUCCACCAUAUCAAUAUGGGAAUACCACCAGAUGGUGUCAACUCUUGGAACUCCGCUGUCCCAAUGAUCUUUCAUGGCGACCAGAUGCCCACACCAAGGUACUGAAGUGAAUGUCGACAGUUGCGGUUAAAGUUUCAACCAUGCCUUGCGUUUGUCGCUGGAUGUCCUGCUCGCUCCGCAUCCUGACUUCCAACAAGCGGUACUCAGUUACAUUUGCCGGUAGGUAGAGCGUGAUGUUCUGUUCCUUGCUUGGUUCCAGGUUGCUCCUUGUCACUCUCAUCCCUGACUUCAUUUUUCUAUGAGAUUUAGAAGAUUUUAGGUCAGGGUCAUGCUGGUUAAGAGUAUUGACAAAAUUUAAUUGGAAAUUGGUUUUACUAUGCAAAAUUCAAGGUUGUGUUCAUGCUGACAUUGGCCCUUUCAGGUUUGUAUGUGUUGCAAGCUCUGGUACCAAUUGGUUGUUCAUUUUCCAUGUAUGUCUUUUGCCUAAGCAAUAGGAGAAAGGAAUCAAUAUCUUUUUUUAGCUUGGUUCUCAGUUACUCCUUAUUUGGGCCAAUAUGCUUUGUGUGGUUCCAACUAUUAGAUCGCAUCUUGGACAUACACAAAUAUUCAGUAAAGAUAUGUAUUUGUUUUUAUUAAAAAGCCAAGUAUUAGGUACCAAUGCAUAUGAUCUGUAACACAAUUUAUUUACUACAACAUUGGAAUAGUUAAAUGUUUGCAGAAGAAUAUCUUCUUACGGAAUAUUUUCUACUGAAGGUAAUCCACCUUUUCUAUUUCUUUUGAUCCUACGUAACCCUCUAUAGUUCGUCAGCCCAAAUCCCAUGAACUCGUCAUGUUGUCUUAAAAGAGAGCUUUUUUCUUAAUUAGUCAAUGGCAUCUUUGCACAUCUCCUUUGUUUGUAUCCAUAAUUUUUUUAAAUAUAUAGAUAUGGAAACAUAGAUGCAAUUUCAGUAUGCUCUGAGUUGACUAAAAAAAUACGAUUUAAACUGAACUAUGGUGUUUUUAAAUGUAGUGUAGAGUUUUGCAACGGAUGAUAAAGAAAUAUCUCUAGAAAUAUUUAAUUUUAAUAGCCCACUAGACUUCUUUUGUUUCAGAGUACAUGCUGUAUCAAGCUUGCUUCAUUCUUCGGCGCCAUUGAUCUCAUUUUGCUCGAAAUUCUGCAUACUAAAGAUGGUGUUGUAUUGCUUUGUACAGGUGAUCAGGAUAUUGUUGAAAGAUUUUCCACUGAGAGAGGAAGUUUCUUUAGAUGUCGAAGCAUGUCUGCUUAUGUUCAAAGGUUAAUUAAUGGUGUGUGUGUUGCAAAGAUUAAUUAUCCAGCGGUUGUAGCUCCCCGUUUGGUAAGAGUCAUUUUGAGCUAAUUUCCUUGAUGACUAAAAUUCUAGAAGGUUCAGCUGUGGUUCUCAUCUAAAGAAGAGUGUCAUAGCUAUUAUCAAAUUUAGGUACCCUGAGAGCACUCUGGACGAGGAGGGGAGGAGCACUGCCUCCUCGCGCUGCUCGUCGACUCGUCCGCACUGGAUGCCCUUGUGCACUCGCUUGAGGUGCCUAUGACGCCAAGAUCGCCGCGCGGAAUCGAGCGAUGCGGGAUGACGCCACGACGGAGUGGUGGUCAGUUGUAGCAGUCAGGCUAGGACAGCGCAAGGAGGGGUGGCUGUCAGGCAGUUGCCGGGCAGAAUUGUGCGCGAACGAUGGGCGACUCCGCGACGGAGUGGUGGUCAGAUCCACACGUGAGGCGCAGGGACUGUCACUCCGUAUACCAGCGCGUGCAGCUGAUAGCAAGUUUGGUGAGCGCUGCUGGACGUCGAGGUGUUAUGGGUGAGGCCGACUGAGACCAGAUCCAGUGCAUCCUUAGUGGUUCAGACCAAGACCUGUGUCAAUGUUUGAGAAAUAUAUGUAACCAUGAAAGGCAUUUAUUGCUCAGAAUUACUUAUUUAGAACUGAAAUAUUGUUAUAUUAUACAUGCCUCCAAAUCUUGAGAUAGAGACAACAAAUGAAUAUAGCAUUAUGUGAUGCUCUUGGCAACUGCAGGAAGGUUUUACA